AUUGAACGCUGGCGGUAGGCCUAACACAUGCAAGUCGAACGAGUGGCGGACGGGUGAGUAAUACAUCGGAAUCUGCUCUGUGGAGGGGGAUAACUUAGGGAAACUUUAGCUAAUACCGCAUACCAUUGGAUGUGCCCAUGUGGGAUUAGCUAGUUGGCGGGGUAACGGCUCACCAAGGCGACGAUCCGUAGCUGGUCUGAGAGGAUGACCAGCCACACUGGAACUGAGACACGGUCCAGACUCCUACGGGAGGCAGCAGUGGGGAAUAUUGGACAAUGGGCGCAAGCCUGAUCCAGCCAUACCGCGUGGGUGAAGAAGGCCUUCGGGUUGUAAAGCACUUUUGGCGGGAAGGCGGUACCCAAAGAAGAAGCACCGGCUAACUCCGUGCCAGCAGCCGCGGUAAUAC
rnacentral:rRNA from 1 species